UAAUAAAGCACGGAUUGACUCCGUGGGUUCACCGUCACAAUACGCUUUUUUCCGUGAUUUUACGCUUUCGGUUUGUAUUUAAAACAUAUUCGAGGUGGUACUAAAACGUGCAUCCGUCCGCCAGAAAAUACGUUUCCUCCCUAUGCUUGUACGUCCGGUUGGGCCUUGUGCUUCUGGCUGGGCCUUGGCGGAAAGAAGCACACGCAAUAUUUUGUCCAUCCUGAUUCCUUGCUAAAAUAUCUGCCUGUACAUGAGUCACAUCAAUGGCUUCACAUAUUUAAAAGUGCCACCUCGGUCUUUCACAUUCACCUACACCAGUUAAUAUACCUCUAGAAAUCUAGCAAUCACGUGGCACCUGCGACGUGGGAAAACAGCAAGAGAGCCGAGUAUCUUGUUGUUAGAGUAGUAGAUUCCGUCCUCGAGAAGCAGGCAUUCAUGAGGCGAUGUGGGAAAACGAAGGGAACAAAAAGCACACAUGCAUGUACGGCCAAACAAAGAUCGACGCAUGGUCUCCUUGCGCACGACCAUCAGCCACCCGGCCGGCACCACCACGAGCACGAGCCACGAGGUACUUCAGAUGUCAUAUUGGCCGGCAGCAGCAGGCUCGGCGCAACCACCAUGCUCGCUGUGGCGAAGGCCGCAACGCCGUACUCCCGGCCGGUGCCGCCUCGCAUGGAGAGGCAGGGGAUGCUCUCGAUGGCCGGGAGCGUGCCAAUCGCCGGUGGCCGGGCAGGACGAGGCACGGCGCCUCCGGCCUUAAACGUCGCGCAAGGUGCGGAAGGUCGCGGCCAAGGCCAGGCGGUGCUCAGGCGGCCGUGGACGGGCUAGCAAUAUCCAUGGGGAGGCUAGCUAAUAAUUGCUUUAAUUAAGCCGGUGGAAAGGGACGCGGCUUCAGUGGGGGAGAGAGAGAAUCGAUCAAGUGGCUAGAUAAUAAUUAAAUAAAAGAGGAGGACACCCAUAUACUUUGAGACAUGUACGUGCAUGAUGAUGCUAUCCAUACUUAAAAUCCCCUUUAUAUUGAUAUUUUACUUUUUUGUGAGAAGGACCCCAGAUAAUAUUGAUAUUAAAAAUAAGCAGUGAUACAACACAACCCAAGAAAAAUAUGAAAUUACAAAGUGCACCAUGGGGAACCAAUCUAGCCACACCUCCAACGAGGGAUGAGGGCGCGCCGCUGUCGCCAUCUCCGCCGCUCCCUACCAGAGCCGGGGAAACCCUUAGUUGUGCGCACGGAAUAAAGAUGUCAGGAAAUCACAUCCUUGGUCCUGGAGGACCAGCACGCCUGGGAUAAGCCAGAUCGGAACUACGCCGCCACUUGCGUCGGUUUGUUGAACGAUGAUGAUGAAGCGUCGCCACCCAGGAGAACCUGCAAAUUCGGAGUCACCACGCUCCUACUAGAGCUCCAUGCCCCCAUGUUGAGGCCGGAGAAGCUCCAUGCCCCCAUGUUGAGGCCGGAGCACACGUCACCAUGACGGCGGGGCCAAAGCAAAAAAAAAGUUCCACCUCGAGAUUGGCACCGGCGCCGCACCAGCCUCGAUUGGUUAGCUUACUACCAAAUUCGCCGCCGACCGCCUCACAGCAACCCAUCGGAAUCGAAUCCGAAGCAGAUUUUCCACGCCGCCACCACCAUAACCGUCAAUGCAGAAACUGGUGAAAGAAGAAAACCUAGCCCUAACCUAACUACACGCCAUCGACAAGACGGUGAGGUUCCCCCUUCUCCCGCCGCCGUCGGAGCGGCUGCCAGAGAGAGGAGGAACCCCUCGAGUCGCUGGCGGAGGACGGUGGUAGUCGGGUCACCUUCGGUCCCGCCUCUCUCGCAGGGGAGGGGAAACAAAACGAAAGAAUAUGAGUUUUAUUAUUAUUUCUAAUUCAACACUGCCCUUAGGGCGAUUGACCUCUUUAGGUUGAUAUGUUUACUAUUUUUUUUAAGUUUAAAACAUUUUCUUGCUCUGGCAUGGUUCAUCCAACUCGACGACAUUAUUUUAGAUUCUAAACAUUCUCUUGCGCUAGCGCGGUUAAGCGACACAUGUGCCGUGUGUUGGACGUGCUCACCGCCUUGAGAUGAUUGACCAUGUUCGGUGACCACUACAACCAUCAUUGACGAGGACGGAUAGGAGGAUAAACAACAACACGAAUAAGAUGGGUCUUAUAGGAUACCGUGUUAAAAUAUAAGACAUGGAUCCGGGAGAGAGAGAUUUGAUCGAUACAUGUUUAUUGGUUAUGGGUAUAUGAUGUUUUAUUCUCCCGUUGCAUCGCACAUGCAUUUUUGCUAGUCUUUCCUUAAUAAUAAUAAUAAUUAAUUAAUUUAAUAUUAAUAAAGCAAUUAUCGCUUCUGCCCGCCUGCUCACCGUCGUCGCGCUUUUGCUAAAAACCCCCCUGUGUUUUACAGUAAUUGAACCCGCCGUCCUCCUAAUAAGUCAAUCGAACCGGUACAGGCGAGAGAAAAGGAAAAAAAUAAAUUCCUACGAGACCUUGCCUUCCAUCUCCACCUCCAGUGUAUCUCCACCUGCCGCGCCGCCACCCCUGCCACGCCGCCGCGCGCCGCCGCGCGGCGCCAACGCCCCUCCGACGUGCGCCUUCCCCACCCCUGCGGCUUUCCACCACUGGCAACACUCGAUGCCGGUGCCGCACCUUACCCCAACCCCUCUCUCUCGCCACGACCCGACGCCGUCGUCCUCCACCAUCAGCCCAGCCCCCGCGUUUCCUCUUCCAGCGAUGCUACCCACGCUCCCUCCUCUCUAGGCCGACGUACAGUGCUCCGGCGACGGCAAAAGACAGUUCCAAACCGUCUGCUUCGCCUCUCAAUCACAGGUGAGCCGAUGGGAGCCGGUUCCUCUCCUCCCCGACACUCUUCUUCACCUGGCCAGAGCACCUGCUCCUCCUAGGCUGCAGUUUGAUGGUCGUUGCCCAGGCUGCGUGCAGUUCAGUGCUGCUCUGCCCCAAUCUACUUCAACCACCAGCUCGCGAGUCUAACAAGACCGUCGCAUGGAUUGAUUGGUUGGGAGGAGAACCGCAACAAGAUAUGCUGCUGAAAAAUCAACAUGGAGUUUGAGUCAGGUCGAUGUAGUGCAUUAACCUCGGCUGAUCUAUCUUGGGCCUCUCAUUUUCCUUUGGUUCUGAAUUCCACUGGUGGUAACUUCACUCGUAAAUUUUUGCUGCUCAGGUCUUUGACUUUUUUUUUGCUGCUCAGGUCUUUGACUUUUUUUGCUGCAGAGAUAUUGGACUUGCUCGGGCUGAAAAAGAUAUCACCCAAGCUUAUAUUGAAGUGAUGUAUGAGGCUGAUUUAGUUGAUACUGCAGUUUGAAGAUUGUACAAAUAAAUUGUAUCUGAAUAAACAAUUUUUCCUGUACACUGGAAUGUACUGAAUUUUUCAUGUAAUAGCACACAAUGCCGUAGUGAGCUGCCUGAAUAAAACUUCAGGAGUUUGUGUACUGGGAGGGGAAGCGGGAACUCAUUCAGAUUAUGUUUGAUUUUCAAGGCUGUUUGGGAGGGAAACCAGGGGUGCCUGUACAGGAUGGGUGGGGAUUGGCGUUGGAAGAACCUGCUGAAGUAUUGAGUGGGCUACCUGUAGUGGAAAACGCAGCGAGCGAUUGAACCCCCACACUCGCAGCGUUGGACCGAUCAAUGAGUAAUUAUGUAGAUUCUUGGUACACUUGCUGCACCUACUGUAGCGUGCAAUGGAUAACGACGAUCCAUUUGCAGGGAGGGGUGCACAUUGUCGGUGGUCGCAUGGACAACUCCGGCGAUUGCCGCGGUGGUACCAUGCAGAGAGGUGUGAUGAAGAUCGUAGACUGUAUGAAGGAGGCGUACAUAACUCGCUGACUCCUUUUUCUGGUGGCUGUUCAGGUUCGAUCGGAUCAGGGCCAGCAGAUCGGCGGUGGCAUCCCGCAGGAUAACUUGACGGGUGUGGCCGUCAUAACGACAUCACGGUAUCGUUGGCCAACCUGUUACAUUAUUAAAAUCGGAUAUUAUGUCCCACAAUCUUUUGCUGUGUCCGAUCUGCAUGAUGACAAACGGUGAAUGAUACCGUGACCAGGUGAGGACGAGCGCGUCAAUGAAUUUUCCUACCCAGGACUUUGUACUGUACUAAUAUUCAGAAAAAUGUUUGUCUGUAUCUCUUUCAGGUUAAAAAAAUGGUCUUCUGUGGGUUACAAACCAAUGCUUGCUUGCUUGCGUACACUCUGGAGCUCCAGUUAAAGAUGGAAAGCCAUAAUGUACUGUGAUGAGUAACCAUCAGUUGGUGAAUCCAUUAUCUUAUGAAUACUACUGUAUCUCUCUCAUCUCUUAUAUUGAGUGAGCGAACAAAGUGUACAAAUGAAGUCACGAUGAGCUGAGCUGAGCAGCUGGCGAUCAGAUGAUUUCUAGUCCUGCUUGCUAUUUCUGAUUUUGAAGCUAUUCCUUCAAGACACAUGAUUACACUACAUUACAUGUUGAAGAACUGUGCAAAUUGGAAGUUAGUACUAAAGCGAAUUGCUCUUUUUGAUCUGCAAAGAAAUUUCAGUCAUAAUAUGUGACAUUGAA